rnacentral:rRNA from 1 species
AGUGGCGCACGGGUGAGUAACGCGUAGACAAUCUGCCCUUCAGUCCGGGACAACUUUCCGAAAGGGGAGCUAAUACCGGAUAACAAUGUUUAACAUAAGUUUAAUAUUUGAAAGCUCCGGCGCUGAUGGAUGAGUCUGCGUCCCAUUAGCUUGUUGGUGCGGUAGUGGCGCACCAAGGCUACGAUGGGUAGCGGGUUUGAGAGGACGAUCCGCCACACUGGAACUGAGACACGGUCCAGACUCCUACGGGAGGCAGCAGUGGGGAAUAUUGCACAAUGGAGGAAACUCUGAUGCAGCAAUGCCGCGUGAGUGAAGAAGGCCCUUGGGUCGUAAAGCUCUUUUAUGGGGGAAGAUAAUGACGGUACCCCAGGAAUAAGCACCGGCUAACUACGUGCCAGCAGCCGCGGUAAUACGUAGGGUGCGAGCGUUGUUCGGAAUUACUGGGCGUAAAGGGCGCGCAGGCGGAGGUGUAAGUCGGAGGUGAAAGCCCGGGGCUCAACCCCGGAGGGUCUUUCGAAACUGCAUCUCUAGAGAGGGUCAGGGGCCGGCAGAAUUCCUGGUGUAGAGGUGAAAUUCGUAGAUAUCAGGAGGAAUACCGGUGGCGAAAGCGGCCGGCUGGGGCCACUCUGACGCUGAGGCGCGAAAGCGUGGGGAGCAAACAGGAUUAGAUACCCUGGUAGUCCACGCCGUAAACGAUGAGCACUGGACGUUCGGAGGGUUCGACCCUUCUGGGUGUUUCAGCUAACGCAUUAAGUGCUCCGCCUGGGGAGUACGGUCGCAAGACUAAAACUCAAAGGAAUU